rnacentral:rRNA from 1 species
CAGACGGGUGAGUAAUGCAUAGGAAUCUACCUAGUAGUAUGGGAUAGCCACUAGAAAUGGUGGGUAAUACUGUAUAAUCCCUGCGGGGGAAAGAUUUAUCGCUAUUAGAUGAGCCUAUGUUAGAUUAGCUAGUUGGUAGGGUAAAGGCCUACCAAGGCGAUGAUCUAUAGCUGGUCUGAGAGGAUGAUCAGCCACACUGGAACUGAGAUACGGUCCAGACUCCUACGGGAGGCAGCAGUGGGGAAUAUUGGACAAUGGGCGCAAGCCUGAUCCAGCUAUGCCGCAUGAGUGAGGAAGGCCUUAGGGUUGUAAAACUCUUUCAGUAGGGAAGAUAAUGACGGUACCUACAGAAGAAGUCCCGGCAAACUCCGUGCCAGCAGCCGCGGUAAUACGGAGGGGGCAAGCGUUGUUCGGAAUUAUUGGGCGUAAAGGGCAUGUAGGCGGUUCGGUAAGUUAAAGGUGAAAUGCCAGGGCUUAAC